AUUGAACGCUGGCGGCAGGCCUAACACAUGCAAGUCGAACGAGUGGCGGACGGGUGAGUAAUGUCUGGGAAACUGCCUGAUGGAGGGGGAUAACUACUGGAAACGGUGGCUAAUACCGCAUAACAUCGGAUUGGCCCAGAUGGGAUUAGCUAGUAGUGGGGGUAAAGGCUCACCUAGGCGACGGUCGCUAUCUGGGCUGAGAGGAUGACCAGCCAUACUGGAACUGAGAAACGGUCCAGACUCCUACGGGAGGAAGAAGUGGGGAACAUUGCACAAUGGGCGCAAGCCUGAUGCAGCCAGGCCGCUGGUAUGAAGAAGGCCUUCGGGUUGUAAAGUACUUUCAGCGGGGAGGCGUUACCCGCAGAAGAAGCACCGGCUAACUCCGUGCCAGCAGCCGCGGUAAUUC
rnacentral:rRNA from 1 species